CAACUUCAAGGAAGUGUAGAUUAGUAUACCACAGUAUAUGAAGAUGUUUAUGUAGAAUGAGUGCUGAAUUGUUUAUGAAAAAAUAAGUCAUUUUUCUUUAGAAAUAUAUUAAAUGCUUUGGAUAUGUCGCAUUUGAGCAAAAAAGAAUGGGUUGUGUUAAUAGUCGGACAGAUAUUAAUGAUCUACAUCCAAACAUUUUUCAAGUGAUGAAUGUAGAUGAUCAAGGAAAUUUAGUUACUCCUGGACGUUUAGAAGUUACAGAAACUGACAUAGUGCUUUACCAGCGUGGUAAACAACCUAUUAAAUGGCCAUUGCGUUGUUUACGGCGGUAUGGCUAUGAUGCAGAAAUCUUUAGUUUUGAGUCGGGCAGAAGAUGUUCUACUGGGCCAGGCAUUUAUGCAUUUAAAUGUCGUAGAGCAGAACAUUUAUUUAAUCUUGUGCAAGCAAACAUUCAGGUUUGUAACAACAGUGGAGAUGAUACUAUGUCCAGAGAACUUCCUGUUGCUUCUCAUCCUGGCCAAACAGUAACACGAGUGACAAUACCGGUUGAGCCUAAUUAUUUGGAUCCAAUACUGAAUAGAAGUAAUAACCGUACAGGCUCCAGAUUUGCUCAUAACCAACAAAAUGGAGUUGGAAGAUUAGAUAGUGUAGGAAGUAGCACCGGUCUUAUAUCACCUCAAGGAAAUAUAAGUUCCCCUUCAUCUCCUCCUGUGCUACCACCACCACCUCCACCACUCCCUCAACCACAUCCGUCCUCACUUUAUGUUAACGAAGAAGUAUUAGCUUCUUUACCAUUGGAGAUGGAGCAUAAUAAUAAUAAAAGCCUUAGAAGAGCAAUACAAAGGUACCUUGAAUGUCAAUUGCUUUUGUUAUCAAUUUCAAUUCAUUGUAUUAAUAUCUUAUAUUUUUUUAGAUCUUGUACAGACAGUAAUUCUAUAUCUAAUAGUGGUUCAGUAUCUUUGGAACAAAGAUCUGUUAAUAUGAGUUCAGAAGUCACUUCUCAAACAAAAUCACCACUUUCAGUAGCAGCUUAUAUGAAUGUAGAUAUUAAUAGCGAUAUUAGUUUACUCUCUCCAACGCACAGCGUUUCCGACGCUUCGCAAUUUAAGAAAGACAAUGAAUGUGGACACGCAUACAUGAAUAUAAGUCCCGGUCAAGAAAAAACAGAAUCUUUUAGUAGUAGACAACGACCUUCGCCAUUGCCAUGUAUUCAGUCUGAAAUGGAAGAGGGAGUAAAACAUUGUUAUGCUAAUCUAGAACCAAGUGAAAUCGAAAGCCUAAGGAAACGAUUUUCUGGAGUAUCUGUAGCAGAAAAAUCGCCUUUGCCUCCAUCAACACCUACAGGUGGUCCAAUUAGGGAAGUAAAUUAUGCUGUAUUAGAUCUGGACACAAAAGAUGCAUCGAGUGUUUCACCGUUAGACGGUCCUCCAAAUUUUACUGCAUCUCCUCCAGAGUCUCCAAAUAAGCUACAGAAAGGAUAUGCAACGAUAGAUUUUAAUAAAACGGCUGCUCUUUCUCAUUCGGUUAACCCCAACCUUGUGAAUGAUAAUGAAGGUUCAAGAAAAACGCGUCACAAUUCUACGAUUAGUGAUUUAGCAGCUUCCGGUAGACGUAGUUCAUCUGUAAGCGAAUGAUCAAUUGUUUAUUUUAUGACUGUGCCUAAGUAACAAAUAUUAAUAGCAUUUUAUAGGAGGUAACAAAGUUUUACUUGUUUGUUAAUGAUAUGAAACCAAAGAACAGAAAUUUAAUUUAUAUAUAUUUUUUGUAAUAUUGAUCAAGAAAAGUUUCAGUGUUAUAUAUAAAUCUAAUGUUAAGCGACCCUUUAUUUUUCAUGGAUUAUCUUGCAUUUCAUUAUUAUGUAAUAACACUUAGUUUUAUAUUUUAUAAAGUUUUUAACGAUGUGGUUACUACAUCACAGUAUUUUUAAAAAGUAAGUCUUUUUUCAAAGUGCUGUUAGGAUGCACAAAAGAAACAUCUUUUUUACAUGAUAUACAAAUAUGUUUAUAGAAAAUUAUAGGUAAAAAUGACUUUUUACAUUAAAUAUUAUGGAGGAAUUGGAAGCUAAAGUGCCCUAGUUUUUCCUGUAUUGUAGGAAUUGAUGAGGCUCAAAUAGUCUAACUGAAGUAAGAGCAUAAAAGUAUAUGAUGUUGUAACAUAAAAAAAGGAUGGUGAUGAUAUACUAUAUAAUUAAAUAACUAUUUUUAAAGUAGUUAACUUCAAACGCAAUGAUGGCUAUAAAAUCGUAAAUUUGGAGUGAUUUUAAUAAGUGGAAGAAAUGCGCAAAAUUCUGUUCAUUUGCACAAAUUAUUGUACUGAGUCAAAGUAGCAGACAUUUGUUUAAAAUUGUCUUGCACGAAUUUUUAAAGUAUCAGUACUGUUUUUCAUUAAAAACAGUUGAGUCAACGAAUAAUACCGCAUUUGUAACUCUAUUUCUAAUGUCUAUAAAAUCAGGCAACCUUUUCUUCCAAUAGCUCCUAAAAUGUUUGUAAAAUGAUAAAUUUAUAAUAAAUACAAAUCUUAGUUUUUGUAAA